rnacentral:rRNA from 1 species
GACGAACGCUGGCGGCGUGCUUAACACAUGCAAGUCGAGCGGUAAGGCCCUUUCGGGGGUACGACGAGCGGCGAACGGGUGAGUAACACGUGGGUGACCUGCCCUCAGCUCUGGGAUAAGCCUGGGAAACCGGGUCUAAUACCGGAUAUGACUCCAUGACGCAUGUUGUGGGGUGGAAAGCCUUGUGCGGCUGAGGAUGGGCCCGCGGCCUAUCAGCUUGUUGGUGGGGUGAUGGCCUACCAAGGCGACGACGGGUAGCCGGCCUGAGAGGGCGACCGGCCACACUGGGACUGAGACACGGCCCAGACUCCUACGGGAGGCAGCAGUGGGGAAUCUUGCGCAAUGGGCGAAAGCCUGACGCAGCGACGCCGCGUGAGGGAUGACGGCCUGGUGUAACUACUUCA